AGAGCCCCUCCCCCAUUCAGCAGCAGCCCAAGUCUUAGCUCUACCGGUCAGGUGAGAAAUCAUAAACGCUACUUUGGACCGGUCUGUGGGAAACGCACAAGGAUUAAAUUCAAAAUGAAUAGAACAGUCAAUAAAAAAUAUCCUGCUUUGCUCCGGCUCUCCGGCGUAUCGCGCUGGGGGAGCCAACUUACUGCCCGCUCCGAUAAGCGGCAUGGGGAAAGUUGGAGUUACUUCCGGGAUCGGAAGCGGGGCCGGAGCGGUCUGGCGAGUGAGCUGGCCAAUAGGGGAUUAUCACGCUUCCGGUGGCGGAUUUGUCUUCGUUGUGCAUGAACACUUCCGGCGCACUUCAACAAUGGCUGAAAUAAAGGCUAGAUGUCACUGCUCUGUUCCACUUUGUACAUCUAACAAACAUCACCAACCCUACUUAAGUUUUCAUGGAUUCCCGACUGAAUUGAGUCUAAGGAAGAAGUGGAUUCAAGCGGUUCGCCGGGAUGAAGGGCCAAACUUUAAAAUAAAACAAGUUAGCACGUUUGUUUGUAGCCGGCACUUUAGUGAAUCAGACUACAAACGCUACAGCUAGCAACCAACCGGGGUCACACCAAGCGACUGAAAAUCGGGUCUGUACCCUCCCGUUUCCAGUGGAACAACUGGGGACUGCCAAGAAGGGGGUCUGUUUAUAAAAGAGCAUCAACUCGCUUAGGCCAUGACGUUCACCCAGCCCUUCCUCUGGAGCAACCGCUGCCCUGUGAAUAAGAGCCGAUGGAGGAGAUCGCAGCUUCGGUGGUGAUUACGGAACAUGAUUUCGGUUCUGCUCCUAAACCAGGUGCAAUGGAUGCUGCUGCUGUACACAAACAGCAAUUGGAAGAAACAGUCAAGGAGCUGAUGAGAGCUGUCACAGCUGAAAGUGGUUCAAGUGCCUUUUCACAGAUUUUGUGUCUCAGACAAGGACAUCCUUUUUUACACCAGAUUCACGUCAAGAGAUGUUUUGUGACUUCUGGGAGGUUAUUCAACCAUCUGCCUCCAUGUUGGUUUAUUGGUCGAAAGCUCAGAAAAAGAAACAAACAUUUGAACCCAUUUCUCCCAGUCCAACGUGUAUGCAACUGGUUGAGUUUUUUCUCUUCUGCUGCCGGGUUGCUGCAGGACUGCAAGAGAAGGUGCUGGCUGACAUGUUUCAGUGCUGUGACUUUUGUGUCAAGUCUCUUCACCGGCUCGCUCCAUCUCCGACCCAGAGCUGACUGAACGAAGUGGACUGCUGGAUUUACUGCAGCCAGGAGAUGGCUGCAUGGCAGACAAGGGUUUCACCAUCGAGCAGCCACUAGCUGAUCGUGGGGCAACGCUGAUUAUACCACACUUCAAGAUGACAGUUCACCGAAGAGGAUGCUCUGAAAACACAAGCAAUCGCCCGACUUCGAAUCCUCGUAGGAAGAGCAAUAGGCAGAGUCAAGGAAUACCGCAUUUGGGAACUGUCCUUUCACCUUGUCUGCGACAGUCAACCAGCUGUGGACCGUCUGCUGUGUGAUGACCAACUUCCAGGGACCACUUGAUUUAAAAGGCUACAUCCCUGUUGAAUAGUGUUUCUACUCAAACAUGUACCUAUAAAGAUUAAAUGUAAUACAUAAAAAUUAAAACGAGAGACACUGAA